rnacentral:rRNA from 1 species
CCUACGGGAGGCAGCAGUGGGGAAUAUUGCGCAAUGGGCGAAAGCCUGACGCAGCGACGCCGCGUGAGGGAUGAAGGUCUUCGGAUCGGAAACCUCUGUCAGCAGGGAAGUACGGUCACUGUGCUAAUCAGCAGUGAAUUGACGGUACCUGCAAAGGAAGCACCGGCUAACUCCGUGCCAGCAGCCGCGGUAAUACGGAGGGGGCGAGCGUUAACCGGAAUUACUGGGCGUGAAGCGCUCGUAGGCGGUAUGUCAAGUCAAGGGUGAAAUCCCCGCGCUGAACGUGGGAACUGCAUUUGAAACUGGCAGACUGGAGUGUGUGAGAGGAUAGUGGAAUUCCAGGUGUAGGAGUGAAAUCCGUAGAUAUCUGGAGGAACAUCAGUGGCGAAGGCGACUAUCUGGCACAUAACUGACGCUGAGGAGCGAAAGCGUGGGUAGCAAACAGGAUUAGAUACCCCUGUAGUC